UAAAUUGAGAGUUUGAUCCUGGCUCAGGAUGAACGCUGGCGGCGUGCUUAACACAUGCAAGUCGAGCGAUGAAGUUUCCUUCGGGAAACGGAUUAGCGGCGGACGGGUGAGUAACACGUGGGUAACCUGCCUCAUAGAGUGGAAUAGCCUUCCGAAAGGAAGAUUAAUACCGCAUAACGUUGAAAGAUGGCAUCAUCAUUCAAUCAAAGGAGCAAUCCGCUAUGAGAUGGACCCGCGGCGCAUUAGCUAGUUGGUGGGGUAACGGCCUACCAAGGCGA
rnacentral:rRNA from 1 species